UUCAUUCUAACCAGCGGCCAUAGCCUACAAAAUACAACUGCCCACAACCUGUCACAGACCUCUUUGGAAUCUCCUGCCCAGUCAUCUCCUUCUCUUCCCCCCUCACCUCCUUAAAAGCCAAUUGGAGGCACCAAAUACAUAAAGUUGAGAAGAGAGCACCAAGAAUGGGAAUCCGUGAUGAGAGGGACAUCAACAGGGCAAUGAGGAGCUGUGACAGGGGAAGACAGGACAAAGUGCACUGGAUGUUUCGCUGCCGAGUGGGAGCACAAGAAGUGGGCACAUCACCCUGGUUGGCCACCUCUCUCCUCUUAUUACCGUUAUGUUCUUGCUGUACAUAUGGAGAAUUUCAAUAAAAACAGCAAUGCUCUUCCGGGAAGGUGGCUGGUAGAGCCAAAAUUGA